UUAGAAACUCAUUCAGAUGUAUC
rnacentral:siRNA from 1 species